rnacentral:rRNA from 1 species
AGUGAACGCUGGCGGUAGGCCUAACACAUGCAAGUCGAACGGCAGCACAGUAAGAGCUUGCUCUUACGGGUGGCGAGUGGCGGACGGGUGAGGAAUACAUCGGAAUCUACUUUUUCGUGGGGGAUAACGUAGGGAAACUUACGCUAAUACCGCAUACGACCUACGGGUGAAAGCAGGGGAUCUUCGGACCUUGCGCGAUUGAAUGAGCCGAUGUCGGAUUAGCUAGUUGGCGGGGUAAAGGCCCACCAAGGCGACGAUCCGUAGCUGGUCUGAGAGGAUGAUCAGCCACACUGGAACUGAGACACGGUCCAGACUCCUACGGGAGGCAGCAGUGGGGAAUAUUGGAUAAUGGGCGCAAGCCUGAUCCAGCCAUGCCGCGUGGGUGAAGAAGGCCUUCGGGUUGUAAAGCCCUUUUGUUGGGAAAGAAAAGCAGCAGGUUAAUACCCCGCUGUUCUGACGGUACCCAAAGAAUAAGCACCGGCUAACUUCGUG